rnacentral:tRNA from 1 species
GGCCCGUUGGUCAAGUGGUCAAGACGGAGGCCUCUCACGCCUCAAUCGGGAGUUCGACUCUCCCACGGGUCACCA